rnacentral:rRNA from 1 species
UACAGAGGUCUCAAGCGUUGUUCGGAUUCAUUGGGCGUAAAGGGUGCGUAGGCGGCGCGGUAAGUCGGGUGUGAAAUCUUGGAGCUUAACUCCGAAACUGCAUUCGAUACUGCCGUGCUUGAGGACUGGAGAGGAGACUGGAAUUUACGGUGUAGCGGUGAAAUGCGUAGAUAUCGUAAGGAAGACCAGUGGCGAAGGCGGGUCUCUGGACAGUUCCUGACACUGAGGCAACGAAGGCCAGGGGGAGCAAACGGG